CCUACGGGAUGCAGCAGUGGGGAAUAUUGGACAAUGGGCGAAAGCCUGAUCCAGCCAUGCCGCGUGUGUGAAGAAGGCCUUCGGGUUGUAAAGCACUUUCAGUGGGGAAGAAAGCCUUGGGGCUAAUACCCUCGAGGAAGGACAUCACCCACAGAAGAAGCACCGGCUAACUCCGUGCCAGCAGCCGCGGUAAUACGGAGGGUGCGAGCGUUAAUCGGAAUUACUGGGCGUAAAGCGCGCGUAGGCGGUCUGAUAAGCCGGUUGUGAAAGCCCCGGGCUCAACCUGGGAACGGCAUCCGGAACUGUCAGGAUAGAGUGCAGGAGAGGAAGGUAGAAUUCCCGGUGUAGCGGUGAAAUGCGUAGAGAUCGGGAGGAAUACCAGUGGCGAAGGCGGCCUUCUGGACUGACACUGACGCUGAGGUGCGAAAGCGUGGGUAGCAAACAGGAUUAGAUACCCCUGUAGUC
rnacentral:rRNA from 1 species